rnacentral:rRNA from 1 species
AUUGAACGCUGGCGGCAGGCUUAACACAUGCAAGUCGAGCGGGGGGAGGUAGCUUGCUACCUAACCUAGCGGAGGCCGGGUGAGUAAUGCUUAGGAGUCUGCCAAUUAGUGGGGGACAACAUUUCGACAGGGAUGCUAAUACCGCAUACGCCCUAAGGGGGAAAGCAGGGGAUCUUCGGACCUUGCGCUAAUAGAUGAGCCUAAGUCGGAUUAGCUAGUUGGUGGGGUAAAGGCCUACCAAGGGGACGAUCGGUAGCGGGUCAGAGAGGAUGAUCCGCCACGCUGGGACUGGGACACGGCCCGGAAUCCUACGGGAGGCAGCAGUGUGGAAUUUUGGACAAUGGGGGGAACCCUGAUCCAUCCAUGCUGCGUGUGUGAAGAAGCCCUUUUGGUUGUAAAGCACUUUAAGCGAUGAGGAGGCUACCGAGAUUAAUACUCUUGGAUAGUGGACGUUACUCGCAGAAUAAGCACCGGCUAACUCUGUGCCAGCCGCCGCCGUAACAC